AGUGAACGCUGGCGGUAGGCCUAACACAUGCAAGUCGAACGGCAGCACAGUAAGAGCUUGCUCUUACGGGUGGCGAGUGGCGGACGGGUGAGGAAUACAUCGGAAUCUACUUUUUCGUGGGGGAUAACGUAGGGAAACUUACGCUAAUACCGCAUACGACCUACGGGUGAAAGCAGGGGAUCUUCGGACCUUGCGCGAUUGAAUGAGCCGAUGUCGGAUUAGCUAGUUGGCGGGGUAAAGGCCCACCAAGGCGACGAUCCGUAGCUGGUCUGAGAGGAUGAUCAGCCACACUGGAACUGAGACACGGGCCAGACUCCUACGGGAGGCAGCAGUGUGGAAUAUUGGACAAUGGGCGCAAGCCUGAUCCAGCCAUACCGCGUGUGUGAAGAAGGCCUUCGGGUUGUAAAGCCCUUUUGUUGGGAAAGAAAAGCAGCAGGUUAAUACCCCGCUGUUCUGACGGUACCCAAAGAAUAAGCACCGGCUAACUUCGUG
rnacentral:rRNA from 1 species